GCGAUGGGAUUGGAGACCCUGCAAGAGAUGCAGCACGUGCGAGGGGCCCAGCGCGGGGAGCCUCCAGCACGUGCGAGUGGCUUCGGGAAUCGCGAGGGAGAGCUCCAAGAGGUGGGGUUUGAGAAAAGUGUUGCUGCCGAGAAAGUAAAGAUUCGGCGACUGAACGGACAGAAGAGUGGUGGGAGCACGCGAGAGAGAAGAAAAAAGGUGGCGGCGGCGGCGAAGAGUGGAGGAAGAGAGGAGCAUUCAAUAACACAACUGCUCGCCACUGGUUGUGGC
rnacentral:lncRNA from 1 species